UACGAAGGGGGCUAGCGUUGUUCGGAAUUACUGGGCGUAAAGCGCACGUAGGCGGAUUGUUAAGUUAGGGGUGAAAUCCCAGGCUCAACCCUGGAACUGCCUUAAUACUGGCAAUCUCGAGUCCGAGAGAGGUGAGUGGAAUUCCGAGUGUAGAGGUGAAAUUCGUAGAUAUCCGGAGGAAUACCAAAGGCGAAGGCGGGUCUCUGGGCCGAUACUGACGCUGAGGAGCGAAAGCGUGGGGAGCGAACAGG
rnacentral:rRNA from 1 species